rnacentral:rRNA from 1 species
UUAGGGAUCUUGCGCAAUGGGCUAACGCCUGACGCAGCGACGCCGCGUGGGGGAGGACGGCCCUCGGGUCGUAAACCCCUUUUCCCGGGGACGAGGACGGACGGUACCCGGGGAAGAAGCACCGGCUAACCCCGUGCCAGCAGCCGCGGUAAUACGGGGGGUGCGAGCGUUGUCCGGAUUCACUGGGCGUAAAGGGCGCGUAGGCGGCCCCGUCAGUCGGGCCUGAAAGCCCGGGGCUCACCCCUGGGUCGGGGUCCGGGACGGCGGGGCUGGGGGGCGGCCGAGGGGCGCGGAAUGCCGGGUGUAGUGGUGAAAUGCGUAGAGAUCCGGCGGAACACCGGUGGCGCAGGCGGCGCCCUGGGCCGAGCCCGACGCUGAGGCGCGAGAGCGUGGGGAGCGAACCG